UGAUGGUGAUGAGGAUAAUUUCUGAGCAUGCCUUUAAAUCUCUCCCAAGUUUAGUAGAGAUUUUCUUCAUCUUUUUAUCUAAAACUCAAGAUCUCACUCCUCAAUCG
rnacentral:snoRNA from 1 species